rnacentral:misc_RNA from 1 species
GGAUGAAGGUCUUUUAAAGGAGGUAAGGUUUUUAGAGUUUUAAAAUUUCUAAAACUUUAAUUUUGCCAUAUUAAUUUUCAUUAUCUUAUCUUACUUGCACUCAAUUUGAUCAUAAAAUUGGCUGAGCUCCUUAGGGAGUGAAAUUGUGCAUUGAUAAUCGACUAGAUUAAAUCAUUUUAGAAAUUGAUAGGAUUUUCCUGGAU